rnacentral:rRNA from 1 species
GUGGGGGAUAUUGCACAAUGGGCGAAAGCCUGAUGCAGCGACGCCGCGUGAGGGAAGACGGUUUUCGGAUUGUAAACCUCUGUCGAGGGGGACGAAGGAAGUGACGGUACCCCUUGAGGAAGCCACGGCUAACUACGUGCCAGCAGCCGCGGUAAUACGUAGGUGGCAAGCGUUGUCCGGAAUUACUGGGUGUAAAGGGAGCGUAGGCGGGGAUGCAAGUUGAAUGUAUAAACGGCCGGCUCAACUGGUCGAAGCGUUCAAAACUGCAUUUCUUGAGUGGAGUAGAGGCAGGCGGAAUUCCUAGUGUAGCGGUGAAAUGCGUAGAUAUUAGGAGGAACACCAGUGGCGAAGGCGGCCUGCUGGGCUCUAACUGACGCUGAGGCUCGAAAGCGUGGGUAGCAAACAGGA